UUAUUAAUUUAUUGUUUACUACUUUAACUUUGUAGCAAUAUUCUAAGUGUUAGUUUGUUGUUUGUAAUUAGAUUUUUUUUAUAUUUUCAUUGUUAAUUUUCUGUUUAAGUUUUCAUUUUGCCAUUUAUGAUGGUAGAGUUGAAAAAAGUAAACAAGUAAUAACAAGGCAGAAUUGACACUAUUUCUUAUUGAAAAAAAGAUGGAACUGAUAUUGAACUGUCAAAAGAUUAAAAUCUCCUGCUAGUUGCUGUUGUUAUAUCAGGGAAGUUUAAAUUUUUUUAAUUGGAAUAUGAAGUUAAUGUAGAAAUGCUCACAGUAUAGCAAGUUUUGUAACCAGCAAAAUAACUACCACAAGUUUUAUGGCUUGCAAAUAGGUUUUGCAAGUUUUGUGGCUUGAAAAUAAGUACAACAAGUUUUUUGACUAGCAAAUAAGUACCACAAGUUUUGUUGCUUGCAAAUAAGGUACAGUAAAUUUUAUGGCGUGCAAGUAGGUACCGCAAGUUUUGUGGCUUGCAAAUUGAUACUUGGCUCUGGCUUACCUUUACGUGGUGUCUAUUGUUAAAAAUUAUUCAUUUUGUUUCGUUAAUGUAAUUUAAAAUUAAAUUAUUUGCUAGAAGCUUAGACAAGAAAUAAUUACAUUUUUUAUUUCAAAAAACUUGUUUUUUUUGUGUGUUUUUUUCUCAGGUUGGAGUGGUUAAUCUGUUCCUUUACAUGAUAAUGUAUACUCAGAUGCAUCUUGUAAGGUGGUUGGAGUGUGUAAUCCGUCUUUUUUCAUGACAAAAUGGUUACUCUGAUGCAUUUUCUAUUGCAAGUUUCCAAAUACAUGCAAAGUAAAACUGUUGGCGACAUGGCACAUGUAUUAAAGUCUUCUGUGACAGUUGACUCAGCAAGAAUGAAGACAUUGAUACACUUUUUCAUUAUGGAAUACACAAGUUGGCAGUUCCUCGCCCACUGCCACUCCCAAAUACAGGUAUAAGAAAUCCUUAUAACGUAACAGACGAUCGAGACGAAGUGAUUAUUAUGUGUGGCAAAAGAUUAUUUUAUGAAGCUUUUUAUUUUCUGACUUCGUGAUGGAACUUAUUGGAGUACAAUUUUUUUGGACAUAGGAAGAGCAUUGCCGCUGCAAGCAUGAACAAUAAUAAAACAUUCCAAAGAAUAAUUUGUUAUUUUAACGAUUAGAUUUGUUGUUUGAAUGUAUAAAUGCUUGUUGAAUAUUUUUAUCAUAUAUCAUCCUAAUUUCAAAA